UGGUUUUAUACGACACGUAACAAAUUUGAGAAAAUGGCGGAUCCCUUAGACCUCUGUACUGGUCUUCAGAAAAAGGAAAUAUUGGCUUUUAUGGAAGGGAAAUGUGAUCCUUAUCACAUGGCAGUUAUAAAGCGAGGCAGUGGUACCAAAGAAAAUCCGACCAUUAUACCAUCAGCCUUUAAUGGCCGAAUAAUUGGGUGUAUAUGCAACGAAAACCGCUUUGUGAAUUAUAUGUGGUUAGAAAAAGGUUGUCCGAAACGCUGUGAAUGUGGACAUUGGUUUAAAUUGAAGGAUGUUCCUGCAUUCU